rnacentral:lncRNA from 1 species
GCGCGGGCCCAGCCCGGUGCGCGGCGCUGUUGCACCGGAGUUGGGCGGGACGAGCGCGGCCGCCGGGAAAUGUCGCCGUGCUCUCCUCAGGGAGUGCCUGUCCCGUGGGCUCCUGCUGCAGCUGGGAACCUCCUGCUCCUCCCUCAUUCCACAGGAACUCCCUGGCUGAAGGAAAAACCCUUUGAAGUGGCAGUGAUGCUGUUAUGCACCGGUAGAAGAUGGUGUGGUUCCAUUAUCUCCGUAAUGGACGUUGGUUUGGGGAGAGCUUCCCCUCUGUCCUUUCAUCAGGAAUUGGUUUCUUCAGCGCUCAAUGAGUCAGCUCUGAUUCCUUCAAAGAGUGUCUGUCAGGGAGUCUGAGUGCUCUGGGGUAAUCAUUGUUAGGCAAUGUUUUCUUCUUGAGUUUCAGACAGCUGUAAUUCCAAACAUCUCACCAGUUGGGUUUUAAUAGACAUGAUUACCACAGUAAAUAUGUUCGGCUGUUAAGUUUGAAGAAUAUAUUUAUAUUAGCUUUUCGGCAGAUCUUGCAUGUCGUUGCAGAAAGUGUCUCUAUGAUAUGUUGAUACCAUUUUUACAUAAUGAUGCCAUUUUACAUAAUAAUUUGCCAUUUUUACAUAAAUAUUUUAGAGUGCUGCAUGAACCCACUCACUUUUAUUUGUGUUAAAUCUCUUCAUUCAUAUUUGGUAAGACUUAUAUAGAUGUGUUUUCAUUUUAUCAGUAGAAAUCAGAUAAUUUGCUAAUUUCUCAGAAAUUGUGAGGUAUGUUGAUCACUCUUCAUAAUAAUAUAAAUUAUUUUGGUUUAAAAUAUUUUUAAAAACAUUUCAUUUGGAAGUAUCACUCAGGUUUUGACUAUUAGAUUUAACAUGCAUUUGGUUUGCUCAUCAAAGUGGAGAACAUUUAAUAUUUAUUCAUAACAAAAGUAUUAGAGAAGCUGUCAAUAAAUUUUCUGUCAUAAUUGAAUCA